CUGUUUAUCUUUGUCAAAUGUCAUUUUUGGAAAAUGACGCAGUCAUUGUUCCAUAACUGCCGACCUGAACUUCAUUACAUUUCUCUGCCUACCGCGCUUGGUUUCGUAUUUCCUAUUUUCCAUACAAACUGGAAUCUGCUUGUGUUAUCAUUAUGCAUCAUUGUGUAGUAUUAAAUCAGCCAGGACCCAGUUUACACUGGUUUUUGCUUGUAUUCCACUACACUCGAACAAAGUGUUGUAGUUUGACGGGAACCAGUUUUAUAAUUUGUAAACUAC
rnacentral:lncRNA from 1 species